GCCGGGUUGGUGAAAUUGGCAGACACGCCAGCCUUAGGAGCUGGUGGCCGCGAGGCCGUGUGGGUUCAAGUCCCGCACCCGGCA
rnacentral:tRNA from 1 species